GACGAACGCUGGCGGCGUGCCUAAUACAUGCAAGUAGAACGCUGAAGAGAGGAGCUUGCUCUUCUUGGCUGAGUUGCGAACGGGUGAGUAACGCGUAGGUAACCUGCCUUGUAGCGGGGGAUAACUAUUGGAAACGAUAGCUAAUACCGCAUAACAAUGGAUGACACAUGUCAUUUAUUUGAAAGGGGCAAUUGCUCCACUACAAGAUGGACCUGCGUUGUAUUAGCUAGUAGGUGAGGUAAUGGCUCACCUAGGCGACGAUACAUAGCCGACCUGAGAGGGUGAUCGGCCACACUGGGACUGAGACACGGCCCAGACUCCUACGGGAGGCAGCAGUAGGGAAUCUUCGGCAAUGGGGGCAACCCUGACCGAGCAACGCCGCGUGAGUGAAGAAGGUUUUCGGAUCGUAAAGCUCUGUUGUAAGUCAAGAACGGGUGUGAGAGUGGAAAGUUCACACUGUGACGGUAGCUUACCAGAAGGGGACGGCUAACUACGUG
rnacentral:rRNA from 1 species